rnacentral:rRNA from 1 species
GUCGAGGGGCAGCAUCAUCAAAGCUUGCUUUGAUGGAUGGCGACCGGCGCACGGGUGAGUAACACGUAUCCAACCUGCCGACAACACUGGGAUAGCCUUUCGAAAGAAAGAUUAAUACCGGAUGGCAUAGUUUUCCCGCAUGGGAUAAUUAUUAAAGAAUUUCGGUUGUCGAUGGGGAUGCGUUCCAUUAGGCAGUUGGCGGGGUAACGGCCCACCAAACCAACGAUGGAUAGGGGUUCUGAGAGGAAGGUCCCCCACAUUGGAACUGAGACACGGUCCAAACUCCUACGGGAGGCAGCAGUGAGGAAUAUUGGUCAAUGGACGAGAGUCUGAACCAGCCAAGUAGCGUGAAGGAUGACUGCCCUAUGGGUUGUAAACUUCUUUUAUACGGGAAUAAAGUUAGCCACGUGUGGCUUUUUGUAUGUACCGUAUGAAUAAGGAUCGGCUAACUCCGUGCCAGCAGCCGCGGUAAUACGGAGGAUCCGAGCGUUAUCCGGAUUUAUUGGGUUUAAAGGGAGCGUAGGCGGGUUGUUAAGUCAGUUGUGAAAGUUUGCGGCUCAACCGUAAAAUUGCAGUUGAUACUGGCGACCUUGAGUGCAACAGAGGUAGGCGGAAUUCGUGGUGUAGCGGUGAAAUGCUUAGAUAUCACGGAGAACUCCGAUUGCGAAGGCAGCUUACUGGAUUGUAACUGACGCUGAUGCUCGAAAGUGUGGGUAUCAAACAGGAUUAGAUACCCUGGUAGUCCACACAGUAAACGAUGAAUACUCGCUGUUGGCGAUAUACAGUCAGCGGCCAAGCGAAAGCAUUAAGUAUUCCACCUGGGGAGUACGCCGGGCACGGUGAAACUCAAAGGAAUUGACGGGGGCC